CUUGUGGACUAUCACAUCAACUGUAUUAGCGAAUUCAAUGCGAGGCAGGAUAGGGAGAAGCAAGAA
rfam:Lactobacillus mixtipabuli DNA, scaffold: sequence01, strain: IWT30.